rnacentral:rRNA from 1 species
GACGAACGCUGGCGGCGUGCUUAACACAUGAAAGUCGAACGAGUGGGAACGGGUGAGUAACACGUGGGUAACCUCCCAUCAGAGGGGAUAACACUUGGAAACAGGUGCUAAACCGAUACUGAUGGAUGGACACGCGGUGCAUUAGCUAGUUGGGGAGGUAACGGCUCACCAAGGCCACGAUGCAUAGCCGACCUGAGAGGGUGAUCGGCCACUCUGGAAAUGAGACACGGCCCAUACUCCUACGGGAGGCAGCAGUAGGGAAGCUUCCGCAAUGGACGAAAGUCUGCCCGACCAACGCCGCGUGAGUGAAGAAGGUUUUCGGAUCGUAAUACUCUGUUGUUAGAGAAGCGGUAUCUACCCAGAAAGCCACGGCUAACUACGUGCCAGCAGCCGCGGUAAUAC